GCCUGGGUGGCUCAGCCGGUUGAGCGUCCGACUUCGACUCAGGUCAUGAUCUCACGGUUCAUGGGUUCGAGCCCCACGUCGGGCU
rnacentral:tRNA from 1 species